UACGAAGGGGGCUAGCGUUGUUCGGAAUUACUGGGCGUAAAGCGCGCGCAGGCGGCUAUCCAAGUCAGUGGUGAAAGCCCGGAGCUCAACUCCGGAACUCGCCAUUGAAACUGUUUAGCUUGAGUAUGAGAGAGGUGAGUGGAAUUCCCAGUGUAGAGGUGAAAUUCGUAGAUAUUGGGAAGAACACCGGUGGCGAAGGCGGCUCACUGGCUCAUACUGACGCUCAGGCGCGACAGCGUGGGAGCAAACAGG
rnacentral:rRNA from 1 species